rfam:Oryza sativa (indica cultivar-group) chromosome 9, whole genome shotgun sequence.
AAUAAGUGCAGCCAUAAAUUUUCGCGUUCAAUUUUGAUCGUCCGUCUUAUUUAAAAAUUUUUUAUAAUUAGUAUUUUUGUUGUUAUGAGAUGAUAAAACAUGAAUAGUACUUUACUCGUGACUUAUGUUUUUAAUUUUUUUAAAAAUAAAAUUUAAAUAAGAUGAACAGUUAAAGUUGGACGCGGAAAAUUAUGGCUGCACUUAUU